GGGGCAGUCCCUUCCUGUGGGACACCUGCAACCUCCCGUCCAGAGACCGAGGAAUCGUCACGCACUUGCCUUACGGAUAAAGUUUUAAAUUCAAUACAGCUUAAAGUAAAAGGACAGAUAGCGUUGUGUGUUUGAAGCUUUACUCAUGAUGACACAUUUGUUACCAAUGGCAGUAAGACAGAAAUGAGCACUCCGCACUUUGUCUUGUAUUUUCCAUGAGCGUGGAAAGUACUUAUAAUGCAGUUACUACAUCUAGCUCGUUUUUCAAAUGGAAGUCUGCAUUGAGCACAAAGAUCAUCUGCAGCUUCUAAGUCCAACAGAAACUCUGCUUUCGUAGUUACUGCUGUCUAUAAAGUAUGUUCAGCUAAUUACUAGGGAUGAUCUACCAAAUACCAAACUUCACUGAGCCGGAUGGUGAUGAAUUGUUGUGCUGGUCAUCUCUCAAAUUCAACUGCAACCCAUUGAAGCUCCGCUUUUAUUGUGAAGGUAGUCACACUAUAUUCCGGUAUUGUGCUGGCAGUCUGUGGUAGCGUUGACGCAGGUUUGAAGAGCCCGGAGUCUCCGCUCCUCCAGCAGCCCCAGCCGAGCGCCACACAGCCUCGGCGGCGUCAGCCUGGCUGGAACCGCAGCGCCUGCAUGUAAGAUCCCUCCGCCUUCUCACUCCUGGAACUUUCCCAGGAUUUCAGGGAUUUCAGAUUCAGACCCACCAUGCCCAGCGUGCAUGUAUGCAUCCCACCUGAGCCAUGCCCUAACUAACGGAGGAAGGAAAACAAACACACCUGUUCCCCUUUCCAGACUAUUCUAAUGAAUGGAUAGGCAUCCCCAAAUAACAAACUGCAGUCUUGAUGUUCUCACAGUCAUUUGCAUUGUGUUCGUGGUAUACCUGUAUUAUUCUUAAAGUCCAUAUUUUAUUAAUGUUUGGUUAUUUGUCUUUUCAUAUAGUGUAUAAUAUUAAGAAUAGGGAUUAAGGUGGUGGAUCCUGCAGUGCAACAGUGAUGGAAGUGACAAUCACACAUUUAUCUUUUUCCUGUUUGUCAAUGGUGUGUAGCCUAGAACAAAUCACGGUAGGCCUACUGGGAGCCUAUGUUUAAAUAGUUUUAAAAAAUCACCAAUUUUACUUUUAUAAUAGCGUCUGAAGUCAUGUAGCAAUUCCAACUACGACCUUUUUAUAUCUAACAUUAAACAAUUAUUCCGGCUAUUAUUACUUUCAUGUGCACGCGCGCACAUGCACACAGUUUGCACCUGUAGCCUAUAAAAUGUAAAAGUAGGAACACUCCAGUGACCUCCUCCACGAAUUAAAUCGUGUUGUUAAAUCAA